AUGAAAGACCCCAAAAAGAAAAGAAAGACCCCAACCCCCUGCCUUUUGUUUUUCUUUACCAUUAUGACUGUUACUCACAAAUGUGGAAGUGCAGGACAAAAGGUGACGUGGACCGAUCCGCAUCUGGAUGCCAUGAAGGCUCAGAAGUUUUCCUGUCAUGACAUCCAGAUCUGCAUUCAGGCCCCGCCCUAUUUCCUCCACUGUCCCCGCCCACACUUGAAGAGAGCCAAUGGCAACGGUCCUCAGAGGCCCUCCUGAGAUCGCAGGAGCUAAAUCCCACCCACCCUCUUUCAGAACAUUUGUAGAGCAUUCUGGGAAUAUUCUGAUAAUACCGAUAACUCUCCCAUCAUAAGAUCAUGCAAGGCUUAGAAAAUCUCCACAAACCUAAAAACUUUGCAAGCUUAUAGAUGACCGAAAAUUGGAUGGACGUAAGCUAGAUUUCUUUUGCUGGUAGUGUUAGGAAAAAAUAUACAACUGAAAUCAAAAUGAUAGAAAAUGUCAGUUUAAUAGAUAUGAUAUCAUUAUCAAAGAUUCACUUUACAUUUAACAACACAUUGGCCCAGAAUUCAUUUUGUGUUCAUAUUGUACAUUUAUUUCUCAGCUACCAUUUGUUGUUAUUUUGAUUUUGAACCAUUAUCUGUUGCUUUUUCUGCCCAGUGUUUCUGGUCUUAGCCUCCCGUACAUAUAUAUUUUUUUCAUUUAUUAUCUGUUGUUCCUUAAAAGUACUAGACUUGUAAAUCAUAUUUCAUUUCUAUUUUCCAUCCUGUUUUCAAUAUAUAUUUUAUAUAUAUGUUUUUGCUUUGCAUGUUGAACUAACUUGGUCAUAAAAAUAAAUGCAAGAAUGAAGAAACUUUGAAACA
rnacentral:lncRNA from 1 species